AAGAGCAAGUAAACGGCGGGAAUAACUAUAAUUCUCUUAAGGUAGCGAAAUGCCUUGUCGUUUGAAUGACGACCUGCAUGAAUGGCGUAACGAGGUUGCUAUUGUCCCAAGUUAAGAUCCCCUGAACACACUAUUCUGGUGCAAAGGCCAGAGACGUCUAGUGGGAAGCAAAGACCCUAUGGAACUUUACUACAGUCUGUUGUUGUGGUAUAUAAUUUACUGUGCAGAAUAGGUGGGAGUUGUUUAAAGUUCAGACGCAAGUUUGGACUCAGACAAAAGUGAGAUACCACCCUUUAGAUUUUGUAUUGCUAACUCGUAAAGAGGACAUCAUCAGAUGGGUAGUUUGGCUGGGGCGGCACCCUGCUGAAAAGAUAUCAGUAGGGCCCAAAGGUCAACUCAUUAGGUUUAGAAAUCCUAAGUAGAGUGCAAGAGCAAAAGUUGGCUUAAUUGGAUUUUUAACAAUAUAAAAUCCAAAAAAGAAAUUUUGGUCUAGCGAACCCUUGUGUCUUCCUUGAUGGGAGCCAAGUAUGACAGAAAAGCUAUCCUAGGGAUAAUUGAGUGGUAGCACCUAAGAGUUCAAAUCGACGGUGCUGUUUGCUUCAUCGAUGUCGGCUCAACGCAACCUGGCUGUGCAGAAGCAGCCAAGGGCGGGGGUGUUCACCCAUUAAAGCGUUUGUGAGCUGGGUUCAGAACGUCGUGAGACAGUUUGUUCGAUAUCUACUAGAUGUGUUCAGUGUCUGAGAGGAAGGAAGCUAUAGUACGAGAGGAACUAGUUUUCGAGGCCUCUGGUGAUUGGUUAUCUGGCAAGGUAGGCCAAGCAGCUAAGCCUUAGAUCAUAACUCCUGAAAGCAUCUAAGGAGGAAAGAUUCCUCAAAAAGAGACACUAGAAGUGCUCACAAAAGAUGAGUUUAAUAGGACUGUGGUGUAAGUAUCAAGGUAACGAGAUAUUCAGCCAGCAGUUACUAACAACUUCGAAAUGAAUCUGC
rnacentral:rRNA from 1 species